rnacentral:rRNA from 1 species
UACAGAGGUCUCAAGCGUUGUUCGGAUUCAUUGGGCGUAAAGGUGCGUAGGCGGCGCGGUAAGUCGGGUGUGAAAUCUCGGAGCUUAACUCCGAAACUGCAUUCGAUACUGCCGUGCUUGAGGACUGGAGAGGAGACUGGAAUUCCCGGUGUAGCGGUGAAAUGUGUAGAGAUCGGGAGGAACACCGGUGGCGAAGGCGGCCCUCUGGACGGUGACUGACGCUGAGACGCGAAAGCGUGGGGAGCAAACAGG